GCCUGGGUGGCUCAGUCCGUUAAGCACCUGGCUUCAACUCAGGUCAUGAUCUCAUGGUUUGUGGGUUCAAGCCCCGUGUCGGGCU
rnacentral:tRNA from 1 species